rfam:Sphaerulina musiva SO2202 unplaced genomic scaffold SEPMTscaffold_4, whole genome shotgun sequence.
GCUUGUGUGGUCUAGUGGUAUGACGUGUCCUUCACACGGACAAGGUCCUGGGUUCGAUCCCCUGCGCGAGUA